rnacentral:rRNA from 1 species
CUGGCUCAGGAUGAACGCUAGCUACAGGCUUAACACAUGCAAGUCGAGGGGCAGCAUUGAGAUAGCUUGCUAUUCAGAUGGCGACCGGCGCACGGGUGAGUAACGCGUAUCCAACCUUCCCCUUAGUAGAGGAUAGCCCGGCGAAAGUCGGAUUAAUACUCUAUGUUGUAUUUUGAGGACAUCUGACGAAUACCAAAGAUUCAUCGCUAAGGGAUGGGGAUGCGUCUGAUUCGCUUGUUGGCGGGUAACGGCCCACCAAGGCGACGAUCAGUAGGGGUUCUGAGAGGAAGGUCCCCCACAUUGGUACUGAGACACGGACCAAACUCCUACGGGAGGCAGCAGUGAGGAAUAUUGGUCAAUGGGCGAGAGCCUGAACCAGCCAAGUAGCGUGCAGGAAAGACUGCCCUAUGGGUUGUAAACUGCUUUUAUCAGGGAAUAAAGUGCGGCACGUGUGCUGUUUUGUAUGUACCUGAUGAAUAAGGACCGGCUAAUUCCGUGCCAGCCGCUGC